GAAGCUGGCUAGACAGUCGCCGCGUCCACCAAGUAAGGGCGGGGAGGAAAGUCCGGGCUCCAUAGAGCAAGAUGCCGGUUAAUGGCCGGACACCGUGAGGUGAUGAAAAGUGCCACAGAGAAUAGUCUGCCUAAGUUCUGCAAGGAAACGGCGAGGGUGAAACGGCGGGGUAAGAGCCCACCGCGGACGUGGUAACACGGACGGCACGGUAAACUCCAUCUGGAGCAAGACCAAAUAGGCAGGUAAUGACGUGGCUCGCGUCGCCUGCGGGUAGGUCGCUUGAGCGUCAGGUAACGAAACGCCUAGAGGAAUGACUGUCCACGACAGAACCCGGCUUAUCGGCUAGCUUCACUU
rnacentral:RNase_P_RNA from 1 species